AGAGUUUGAUCCUGGCUCAGAUUGAACGCUGGCGGCAUGCCUUACACAUGCAAGUCGAACGGCAGCACGGGAGCAAUCCUGGUGGCGAGUGGCGAACGGGUGAGUAAUGUAUCGGAACGUACCUUUCAGUGGGGGAUAACGUAGCGAAAGUUACGCUAAUACCGCAUAUUCUGUGAGCAGGAAAGCAGGGGAUCGCAAGACCUUGCGCUGAUUGAGCGGCCGAUAUCAGAUUAGCUAGUUGGUGAGGUAAAGGCUCACCAAGGCGACGAUCUGUAGCGGGUCUGAGAGGGUGAUCCGCCACACUGGAACUGAGACACGGUCCAGACUCCUACGGGAGGCAGCAGUGGGGAAUUUUGGACAAUGGGCGCAAGCCUGAUCCAGCCAUGCCGCGUGAGUGAAGAAGGCCUUCGGGUUGUAAAGCUCUUUCGGCCGGGAAGAAAUCGCAUGGGUUAAUACCCUGUGCGGAUGACGGUACCGGCAUAAGAAGCACCGGCUAACUACGUGCCAGCAGCCGCGGUAAUACGUAGGGUGCGAGCGUUAAUCGGAAUUACUGGGCGUAAAGCGUGCGCAGGCGGUUUGUUAAGAUAGGCGUGAAAUCCCCGGGCUCAACCUGGGAACUGCGCUUAUGACUGGCAAGCUAGAGUACGGCAGAGGGGGGUGGAAUUCCACGUGUAGCAGUGAGAUGCGUAGAGAUGUGGAGGAACACCAAUGGCGAAGGCAGCCCCCUGGGUCGAUACUGACGCUCAUGCACGAAAGCGUGGGUAGCAAACAGGAUUAGAUACCCUGGUAGUCCACGCCCUAAACGAUGUCAACUAGGUGUUGGGUGGGUAAAACCAUUUAGUACCGGAGCUAACGCGUGAAGUUGACCGCCUGGGGAGUACGGCCGCAAGGUUAAAACUCAAAGGAAUUGACGG
rnacentral:rRNA from 1 species